AGUGAACGCUGGCGGCGUGCUUAACACAUGCAAGUCGAGCGAGAACGGAUUAUAGCUUGCUAUAAUUGUCAGCUAAGUGGCGCACGGGUGAGUAAUGUAUAGGUAAUAUGCCUCUUACUAAGGGAUAACAAAUGGAAACGUUUGCUAAUACCUUAUACUCCUUAUUAACAGAAGUUAAUAAGGGAAAGAUUUAUUGGUAAGAGAUUAGCCUGUAUUGUAUCAGUUAGUUGGUGGGGUAAUGGCUUACCAAGACUAUGACACAUAACUGGUUUGAGAGGAUGAUCAGUCACACUGGAACUGAGACACGGUCCAGACUCCUACGGGAGGCAGCAGUGGGGAAUAUUGCACAAUGGACGAAAGUCUGAUGCAGCAACGCCGCGUGGAGGAUGACACAUUUCGGUGCGUAAACUCCUUUUAUAUGAGUAGAUAAUGACGGUAUUAUAUGAAUAAGCACCGGCUAACUCCGUGCCAGCCGCCGCGGUAAGAC
rnacentral:rRNA from 1 species